AAAUGAUCCAUCAAUAAAGGAUAAUGUUGGAUCAGUGUUUCAAUAUUUUAUAUCUUUUAUUAGAUGUUCAUGUGGUUUGGUUAUUUGCCUUUUGGUUGAAAGUACACUGAGAGAGGACUUUUCGUUAGUGAUCUUAAUAAUUUUUUUUUUCACAUGAAUGUAAUUUUUUCAUCUAAUUGAAUACAAUCUAUUUGUGUAUGAUUGUCAGUCCAAAGAGGGAGAGAGGAAAGAGGGGAACGUGAGGAGAAAGUACAAGGUCAGGAAGAACCAGAUCACCAUUGUGAUGAACCAGAAUGAACCCCUCAGUUUCUUGCACCGUCACAAUGAGGCUUUUUCCACCGAGCCUCUGAAAAACACUGGCAAAGGAGCUCCUCUGGGCUUUUACCACGUCCAGAAUAUUUCUGUCGAAGUUACAGAGUCUUUUAUUGAGAACAUCAAGAGCAAGCCCGUCGUGUUUGAAGUGUUCAGCCACUACCAGCAGCACCCGCUGCACCUCCAUGGCCAGGACGUGAACAGCAUCCAGGAAAUACUAUCCUAUUCCCAUCCGUUGCUUAGAAACUGUCCUGAGGAGACAGCUUCAGGAUCAAUGACAUGUCAUUCACACCAAUGAAGACUUCCAGCCACCAAGUUGAACACCAUCACCAAAUCCAACCUGGGUCAGUGUGUCAGCAAGUACGACCUGCUGGUCUGGUUUGAGAUCAGCGAGUUGGAGCCCACUGGAGAGUGCAUCCCAGCCAUCGUGGAUCACAGUGGAGGCCUGCCCUGCCAUGGUACCUACCUGCUGCACCAGAUCUGUUGUGUCCAAGAAGGGUUUUCUAAGCUUCGUGGAGCCUCGCUCUAACUCAUAGGUGAAGCAUUUUGUGGUUGUUCGCCGGCCCUACGUCUUCAUCUACAACAGCGACAAGGACCCCGUGGAGCGAGGCGCCGUCAACCUCUCCACAGCACAGGUGGAAUACAGCAAAGACCAGCACGCCAUGCUUAAGAUGCCCAACACAUUUGCAGUGUACACAAAACAUCGAGGCAUCCUCCUGCAGGCCAACAACGAGAAAGACAUGAACGAAUGGCUGUACGCUUUUAGUCCUCUGCUAGCAGGAAGGAUAAGAUCUAAGCUGGCGAGGCGGCGCAGCGGCCUGACGAAGAACUGAGCGGGCGGAGCGGUUCCACUGUCGUCCACGUCAUACGUAGAUCCUCCUCAAUCUGUGUACAUACGCCGCCUCUAAACCCCCAAUAGUGCCAGUGUCAGUUAGUGAGUCAGUAAAAUACUCAUGCAUUUGUGUUAACAUUAAAACUGCAGACUAACUAGAGACAAACAAGCGAGGAUCGCUUCAUAUCUCAGCAGUUUAAAAAAACAAACAAUGACCAAUUGUUCCUGCAGGAGUAGAUUUGGGCCCCUUUUUGCUUUUUCAUCCCAAGGAAUAAAAACAAGGUUACAAGGAGAGGAGGAGGAGGAGGACUAGGAGGAUGAAAACGAACUAAGGAGAAAACUUGAUUUGUACAUCGGGUGUGUUCUGGGAUCAGUGUGUUAGUUAACCCUCAUUUAACACAUUCCUCUCUGCUCCUCUAGCUUGCUCUAUCUCACUGAGAAUCAGAAGCCUUGACAUUUACUGCUAUUAACUUUACACUCUUGUUGUCAAGACGCAAAGAAAACACAGUGAAAAGGUUAGAAGGACGUAAGGAAAAAAGAAUGAAGGUGCAAUGUUUCUUUAGUUUUUUUGCUUUGACGGCAGUGGUUAGCCAGCAAAGCUGCUUUUAAAUGGCCCGCAGGACAGAUUACGAUGUAGUCCCAUGACUCCCCUCGCUGUCACACCAGCGUCGGCUGAAAUCUCUGAAGUGAAGUACUCGUGUUCAGCUGUCUGUUACAUAUAGAUAAAAAAUAAAGCUCUGACGUGACCUCGGGUCAGCCAGCCUGACAGUCAGAGAAACAGAAACGUGCUGGAUUGUGGAUCUCUGAGCUGCACAUCAAAGAUGCACCUAUGCACAGAUCAAGUCUCAAAAGUGCAAUGUACCUCAUAUACAUGUUGAUGCGAAGCGCUGCCAGAGCAAACGUUUCCACUUCAUUUGCAGAGGUGUUUUUAUUUUGGAUUGUGUAUUUAUUGUUUGCAAUGUAUAUGUAUUUGUUUGCAGCUCUUUGCACAUAUUAAUAAAAGGUUGAACUAACUGAUCAGAUAAAGUCUGUGCGGUUUAGUUGUUCCACUCAUAUUAAACCAAAUGAAAGGAAAAGGAGACCUAACAUGUAACCCCUGCACCUCCACUGAGGAGGUGAGUUACAUUAGUGCUUCCUCUUUAUUAGAAAGUGGUUUGAGUGAAUUAGAAGUCUGUUGUUUUUUUGGAGGAGAUCUACUCAUUAGUC